CCCAUUUCUCAAACCCGUAAAGAAGUUUACAGCGGAUUCGAUCAUACGAUUUAUCGAGGAAGAGUUGUUUCACUGCUUCGGCGUACCCGAGACGGUAGUAUCGGAUAAUGGAGUUCAGUUAAAAUCACAGGUAUUCCAGAGCUUUCUGCAAAACUACGGUGUCAAACAUAUGUUUACAGCCGUGCAUGCACCCCAAGCAAAUGCGUCAGAACGUGUGAAUCGUUCGGUCAUUGCCGCGAUAAAGGCCUAUAUAAAACCAGACCAGUCCAAUUGGGAUGAAAAGUUGAGCCAUAUUGCCUGUGCACUACGUUUGAGCACACAUACCGCCAUUAAUUCAACCCCGUACAGAAUAGCUAUCAGCUAUUAAGACAGUUCGAAAUGCUGGAGGAUCGAACAGUACAGUUUUCGCGAGACGAUUCGUUCAAUAUCAUUCGGCAAAAAGCUAUGCAUUCAGCUCAACAGCAGCAUAGUCGCAACGAAAAAGUAUAUAAUUUGCGUAGUCGAGACGUCUCGUUUGUCGUUGGUCAGGAAGUGUAUAAAAGAAACUUCCAGCAAAGUAACUUUAGCAGAGGCUUUAAUGCCAAGCUGGCUCCUCCUUUCGUGAAAGCCCGAGUGAGAAAAAGACUUGGUAAUAGUUACUACGACCUCGAGGACCUACAUGGACGACUCCUAGGGAAAUUCCAUGCUAAAGAUAUAAAACAAUGAGGUUUCAGGCGUGGAUCACUCUUUUCAGUGUAUCACUGCCAAGUGUGAUCUUGGUAGGGGGUGUUGUAGUGGCGCCUGUCCAACCAAAAGUAUCGGAUAACCGUCCCACGGUUUCCCCUUCCCUUAGACAUGCACCUUGCACCUUUUGGGCAGUUACGCGCAAGAAAAAAUGACAUAAGUUAACAGCGGCUACUGUCAAGGUGUGGUGAAAAAAAGGGGAAUGAGAAAACCAAGGGCUCAAGCGGAAGGAGAGUGGCUUGGGCAUGCUCUUUCCAAUUUUACUCGCGAUCCCAGACGGACGUCUGAGGAAAAUACUCAAGUAGUGCAGUGAAAGAAAAAAAUUCUAACCUCGCCUGUAAUUACCGCGUGUCCAUCGUGGCUAAGAUCUAGUCAAAAGAUCAGCCGACCAUUCCUACGUUUAUUAAGUGAAGGCCGAACCCAUCGGGUUUGGCCGUACGUAAUACCGUACGAAACGCCGGUCGUAGUGCCGUAAGCCGUACCCACUACAGUCUCGUCACCUUACCACACAUAUAAGUAUCCAUCGUACCGAUCGACUACAGUAUGUGUUAGCCAUCUUCGACCCCAAAUCUUCUCUCGGCGUGGCGUCUGCAUACAUGUGAGCACCACUGUAGUUACCGCAGCGUGUACCGGCGUGGGUCCACACACAUAUAAGCCUUGCUCGGCCUACCCCAGUGAAAAACGGUCGAUGGGCUUUUAUCUACGAGUGUAGUGACAUAAAUAUGUACAUAUGUGUGAGAUCUCUUCAGAGACUUUCAUCAUUGCUACGUCGCUUACGCCGCCCGCAUACGAACAGUAACGCUAAAGGAGAAGACAAUUACCGGUGUCGUUAUACUGUUUGCGUUGCUGAUGAAGUCAUUCGGUGUCUCGAUCAUGAUGGCUAUGCCCAUGCAUUUCUUCAUAUUAGAAUAAUACUUUGGAACCCCACUAUUGUACUGACCCUAGAAUUAACAUUAAAAGUUAAUUUCGUGUGAUUCGGUUUGUUUGGAUUAUCAUAAAGAAAUGUGCAGUUAGAAGGAAAGGAACUAAAACUAAUACUCGCGCAUAUCGACUAUCUACUCUGACACACUGAUAUUUACAAGUUUUCAACCACCCUCAUCGACCACAUGGAAGCGCUUUCAUCGUUGGAUUUGAUCGUAAUGUGAGUGAUAACCUGUGAACGUCUGCUAUAUGUGCAUUCAAAAUUUUACGCAAGUCGAAGCAACAUUAAAGAUUCCAUGCCUCGACCGUAAACUUCCCAGCCGUACUGUAACGCUGACCAAUCCAAUUGUUCACGUGUUUGUUUUGUUCUGCUCUUUCGCAAGCAAUGUAACUUUCUGCAAUUCCGAAUCUAUCGACAAUCGAAAUUAUGAUUGGGAUUACCCCACAAGCAAUUGCUGUGCACUUUAAAGAUGCAUCCAUCCGUCCCUUGUUUUUGCAUUUAAACUGAAAACCACUCGAAUAUAUUUCUAUUUGUGUAACGUAAUUACCAUUAUUCCUGAAUAUACUCUUUAUAAUUAGUUGACCCUAGUCUAAUAAGAUCUUUCAUCAUGAUUUUUUUAUAUAUAUAUAAUUAAUCUUAAUGGCAGCUUAUUUGAACAUAUUAUCCUUAUUACUUUAAUAGCCUUUAUACAUAUAUAUCUACCAUUUUAGCAGCCAUGAGAGCUUGUAGGAAAGUUUAAUGAAUAAACUGUUUGUAAUGAA